ACAGUGUGGAACCUUGUUGCUUUUGUUUCCAUCUGGCAAUACAUGAUGAAAAAUGACGAAUAAUGGAGGAACAAUGGUCGAUCCCGCGAGCUAUGAGAUCUUUUUUAUUAUUAUUAUUUUUUUUGGAAGAUUGGUUGGACACUUGAAGUAGUAGAGCACUGGAUCUGCGGCACUGCUGCGUUUGAUUUACUGGUAGCCAGAUUGGAUUUGGUCUCUGCUUUCUUGAUUUCUCCCUAGAUCCAGCUUUAUGUGGAACCUUCUGAAGUUUACGGCAGCGAGUUGUCGCCGAUCUAGGUGGUUAUCGACUGCGAUUCCUGGUCCUUGUAUUGUCCAUAAGCGCGGGCUGAUAUUCUAUACGAUCCUUGGUUCAACAAGGAUACCGGAUUUCCUCUGACUGAAUGAGACCGUCUUUGAAUCCAUGGCCUUCUUCCUCCAUGAGUAAUAUAAUUUGAGCAACAAUAUACUCGUUUCAGUAAGUUUAUGCCUGAUCUUGAAAUUUCAUUGCUUGUCUAGCAUCGUAAUGAUUUAGUAUGAAUCCCUUCGAGUUUAUUAAUAAUAGAAAUACAGAAGUUCUUCUCCUUUUCAAAAAAAAAAAAAAAAAAGAUUUAGUAUGAAUCCCCUUAAAUAGAAAUACAUUAGUGGAUUUUCUAUAAUGAAAGAUUUGCAUUUUAACUUUAUUUCAUCGUUAGUCUAGUUACACAUUGUUUCCUAGGUUAUUAUUUAGUUGCUAUGGUAGCUGUUAAAUGUUAACUGCCAGUAGUUUAGCUGUUUAAUUUUUUAUUUGGCUAUUAUUUUUCUAGUUCGUUGAAUGCAACUUUGUUGGUUCGUUUGCAACACUUAAUGGUAGGUUAUUCCCCAUGUAAUUAAAAAAAAAAUUUAAAGAAACCUUUAUCUUGAUUAGUGCCACUCUAUUUUAUUGCUCCUCUCAUAGUUACAGAAAGCCACUUCAAGUUGAGUUAAUUGCAAUUUGUUGAAGUAGUAUAAUUACAAAAGAAGUUGAAUUCUUUGAUUCUUUGAUAUCCAAUUGGAGAUAUUUUAUGUUAUUCACCUUUUGGUCUUGUGAUUCCAAAGAGUUUAUUUUAUUUCAUUAGCCAAAGAAAUUUGUUUCUAUUCUAAGAAAGUUCUUGUAGUCACAAGUCUGGUGUUGAAUACAGAUUUCUUUUAGUAUUGUAGGAGAGUUUCAAUCCUUAGGAGCAUUAGGGAUAAGAUCAUUUCUUUGAAUGUCUCUUGCAUGUUUUUGUUCAAUUUGCUAGUGGAAUCAUAUCGGUCGCUGGAGAGAAAUACUCAUGGCCAACCAGAUGGCAUUGUUUCAUUGGCGAAAUGGAGGAUUUUAAACAUAUUGCAUGAUAGGAAUAAGACACUGUACUGUGAAAAACAGGACAAGAUUUGCUCCAUACCAUAACAAACUAGCUAUAGCUUCACAAAAUCUAGAAUAGGUAAGCUCCUUUUCUUGGAAGGUCUUCUAUUUUGUUCAAGCCAAGUAGUCCAGCAGAAAGCUCUAACAAAAUGUCCCAUAAGAGCUUCUUUACACUCAAUUUUUUUUAAAGAACUUUCAUUGGGUAAAAAUGAAAGAAUAAAAGGGCAUACAGAAAAUCAAGCCUACAAGAAAGGGAGUCUGACUAAAAGAAGGGGCUCCAAAGAGCAAAAUAGAACUUAUUGAAUAAUUACAAAUGUUCUUUAAAAUCAAAGUCCAAAGAGGAACAUGAAAUCUAACAAAGGGAAGCUUCUUUUCCUUUUUAGAAGGAUCACUGCCUGAAGUGUAUGCAAGGUAAAUCUUUGAGUUCCUUAGAAGUGUCAUGAGCCCACCAAAGGAUGCAUAUAUCACACAUGUCAAUUCCCAAUAUAUCUAGCAAACCCUCAUGUAGUGGAGGCAAAAUUUUCAAUCCUCUCAAAUUUCUUGUAAGUUGUUGGUUCUAGCAAGUGUUUCAACACUUCAAGUGUCUGAAAUGGCUCCAUCUUUGGACAGAGAGUUUAAAAUAAGAGGAAACCUUUCACGAAAGAGAGCAUCUCCAGCCAAACAUUUUUCCACAAUGAUAAAUCCUUACCAUUUGCAACAGUGUGGCUCAUUCUGUCAAGGUUGAUGGGGUGGUAUUGCAAUAUGGUCUUCCAGAGAUCUUUUGCUCAUCGUUGAGUGGUUUUUCUAGGUUAAGGGAACUUGUAGAUGGACUCAUAUUUGGCAUCAAUCACCUUUCCCUUUGAUAUCCCCAAAUCCAUUUUGAAAGGAUUCUCUCUCUAUUUUAUAUUUUAAUAUUGGAUUACCCCCCCCCCCCCCCCCCCGUUUUAGUACAUACUAUUUUUGGGUUGCUUUCCCUCUUUCGUUUUUAAGGCUGAGAUACCUUUCCGUAUCUUAUGCCUCAAACAACAUUUGUUUCGUACUCCACCUAAAAUAUUAGGUUGUACUUGCUUUGUUCAGGAUGUUUGGCCUCAACAUGCAAAGUUGGAUCCAAAGACCUUAAAAUGUAUCUUCUCGGUUAUUUUCAUGUUCAGAAAGAUUAUCAGUGUUAUUGUUUCAGUUUAAAUACAUAUCUCGUCGCUUCUAAUGUCACAUUCUUUGAACAUUUCUCCUUUUAUUCCUCACCUUCUUUCUCUUCAAAUACGAGUUGGGUGAGCAUCAAGAGUCGAAUGAUGAUUUCUUUGUCUACAAUGUUAUUUCCCCUUCUAAUCCUCUUUGUGAGUCAUCUUCACAUGUGUUUACUUCUAUUUGUCCACCCCUCACUAAAGUCUAUGAUCGACGACAACCUCGUUCAGUUCCAUGCCCUACCCUUAAAGCUUCUUCGUCUCCUCCAAUUACAUGCCCUAUAUUAGAGGCUUCUUCGUCAUUGGAUCCAAAAAUGAGUGAUGAUUUUCCUAUUGCUCUUCGUAAAGGUAAACUUAAGUGUGCUCAUCUUAUUUCCACUUUUGUUUCAUAUAACCAUUAGUCGUCUUCUACAUGUUCUUUCAUUGCAUCAUUAGAAUCUGUGUCAUGAAAGCCUAGUCUCAUCUUCGUUGGUGUGUUGCAAUGGUGGAGGAGAUGACUCCUUUAGAUGAUAAUUGUACUUGAGAUUUAGUUCCUCUCCCUGCAAGAAAGAAGUCUAUCACUGCAAAUGGGUGGUUACAAUUAAAGCUAAUUCUGAUGGUUUUGUCACUCGAUUAAAAGCACACCUUGUAGUGAAAGGCUAUGCACAAACAUGUGGCAUUAACUAUGCACAUUAGCAAAAAAUGGCAUUUGUGAGGUUGUUUAUUUCAUCAACUUCAAUCAACCACUGGCCUUUACAUCGGUUUGAUAUUAAAGUGCAUUUCUUCAUGGUGAUCCUCAAUAAGGGGUGUAUAUGGAGCAACCACUAGGGUUUGUUGCUCGGGGGAGAAUGGAAAGGCGUCUCGCCUUUGUAAAUCUUUGGAUGGACUAAAGAAGACAGAAAAUCUACUUCAGGAUAUUGUGUUUUUGUUGGUGGCAAUUUGAUGAAUUGGAAAAGUAAGAAGCAAAAUGUGGUGUCACGUGCAUGUGCAGAAUCAAAAAUAGAGCAAUUGCACAGUCUGUGUGAAUUGAUUUGGAUAUCUCAACUUAUUGUUGAGUUGGGAUUUGAAAUCACCACACCAACAAAAUUGUGGUGUGAUAAUCAAGCACUUGAUAUUGCAUCUAAUCCGGUGUUCUAUGAGAGGACUAAACAUAUUGAAGUUCAUUGUCAUUUUGUACAUGAUAAAAUUCAAGUUUUGGUAUCUACAGGAUAUGUGAAGACCGGAGAACAAUUAGGAGAUAUCUUCAUGAAAGCAUUGAAUGGAGCACAUAUAGAUUAUCUAUGUAACAAGUUAGGCAUGAUUAACAUGUAUGCUCUAACUUAAAGGGGAGUGUUAUAAUUCUAUUAUUGUAAAUAUCCUUGUUAUAUUUUCCUUUUUUUGGUUUUUUCUACACUAUCCUUCUUUGGUCACCAUUCUAUCUUGUAUAUAUAUUUCUUUAGUGAAUGGAAUAAGUUAUUUUGAUUCUCUCUCAAACCCCAAGUGUUUUAAGUAUCUAAAUCAUAUUGCCCUCCCUAGAUUUUUGUGUAAUUUGUGUUACAUAUUGAGGACCUAGUUCAGUUUAUUACACAAGCUUGAUGCUUCAUUUAUUUCCUGGAUUAAUGGUUAAUGAAAAUCUUAUACUUUAAGAGACCUUAGCUUCACACAAUUUGUACAUUGAGAUAACGGUCUAUUAUUUUAUGAAUUAUAUACCUAGCAUAACAAAUAUUCUUUCUUUCAGCAAUUUGAUGAAUGUUAUGUUUUAUAUAUAUAUAUAUAUUAUUAAACCACCAAUUCACCCAAAAGCUUAAGUUGGUGGUUGAAGGCAAAUUUAAUUAUAUAUUACUAACACUUCCUCUCACCUGUGAGCUUGAAAUAUUUGAAAGGUCCAACAAGUGGAAACCAAUGUUGUCACUUGUGGGCUGAAAUAUUUGAACGACCCAACAAGCGGAAAUUAAUUUUAAUUGGAGAGAAAACAACAAUGCAAGGGCUUGUACACAGGACCUUCCUGGACCAUCUACUCCGAUACCAUAUUAAAUCACCAAUUCACCCAAAAGUUUAAGUUGGUAGUUGAAGGAAAAUUUGAUUAUAUAUCUCUAACAUAUAUUUUUGAAGUUCAUUGUAUUUUCCUCUUCCAACUGCAGAUUGACAUGAUUGUCCUGACAUAUGGAAGUCGUAUUCUUGGCCUCAGUGACCUUGGAGUUCAGGGAAUAGGAAUACCUGUAGGAAAGCUGGAUAUGUAUGUUGCUGCUGCUGGCAUAAACCCUCAAAUAGUAUGCUUUUUCUUUUAAUAUUUGAGCUUGUUUAUGAAUGUGGCUCGUCUGAGCCUGUUUUUGUUUUUGUCCGUACAUUUAUACCUUUAAUAUCUGAUCCAUUCUUGGACUGAUCAAUGAUAUGCGGUAUACGGUAACGAGAGGUUUAAUAGGUUAGAGUAGAUUUUCAUUUUUUUAUUUUGAAGAUAAAUAAUACCUCAACGGUUUGCAAUUGCAGCCUAUUGUAAUGUUAUCACUUAAAAUAACUAUAAACGUAUACUUAAGUUAAUUAUUGUAAAAGAUUAAAUUAUAUAAUGCUGCUAUUGCAAAUUA